rnacentral:rRNA from 1 species
CCUACGGGUGGCAGCAGUGAGGAAUAUUGCACAAUGGGGGAAACCCUGAUGCAGCGACGCCGCGUGAGUGAAGAAGUAUUUCGGUAUGUAAAGCUCUAUCAGCAGGGAAGAAAAAAGACGGUAUCUGACUCAGAAGCCCCGGCUAACUACGUGCCAGCAGCCGCGGCAAAACGGAGGGGGCAAGCGUGAGCCGGAAUUACUGGGCGGAAAGGGAGCGUAGGCGGCGCGGCAAGUCUGAAGUGAAAGGCAGGGGCUUAACCCCUGAACUGCUUUGGAAACUGGCAUGCUAGAGUGCUGGAGAGGGAAGUAGAAUUCCUGGUGUAGCGGUGAAAUGCGUAGAGAUUAGGAGGAACACAAGUGGCGAAGGCGGCUUACUGGACAGUAACUGACGUUGAGGCUCGAAAGCGUGGGGAGCAAACAGGAUUAGAUACCCCAGUAGUC